GCUUGGAUAGCUCAGUUGGUUAGAGCAUGGUGCCUGAGAAUGCCAAGGUUGCAGGUUCGAUCCCAGUAUGGGACA